rnacentral:rRNA from 1 species
UGGAGCAUGUGGUUCAAUUCGACAGUAAACGAAAAACCUUACCAGGGUUUGACACUAUACCAAAAACCUUAAGAAACUAAGGUGUGUUCACAAGACGGGUAUAGCAGGUGCUGCAUGGUUGUCGUCAGCUCGUGCCUUGAGGUGUUCCGUUAAGUCGGGAAACGAGCGCAACCCCUAUUGCCAGUUACAAGUGUCUGGCGAGACUGCCUGCGUUAGUAGGAGGAAGGAGGGGAUGACGUCAAAUCAGCAUGGUCCUUUGAUACCCUGGGCUACACACGUGCUACAAUGGAAAGUACAAUGGGUCGCCAACCCGCAAGGGGGAGCUAAUCCCAUCAAAACUUUCCCCAGUUCAGAUCGAGGGCUGCAACUCGCCCUCGUGAAGUAGGAAUCGCUAGUAAUCGUGGAUCAGCAUGCCACGGUGAAUACGUUCUCGAGUCUUGUACUCAAAAUUAAAUGCGCUUGGCAGCGCAAAAGACUAAGUGGUUAAAAUCCACUCUCGCGUAAUCUGCGCGAGUAGCUUAAGGAUAGGUCCCGAGCCGCGAGGCCAGGACUGAAGGAUCCGAUAUGCAAAUAGUAGCCGAUUUCCCCCUUUAAUGGGGAAGGUGAUUGAUCUCUUCGGUGAGUAAGAGAGAAAAUCUUUAAAAAACCUGAAAUCGGAUGUUAUGAACAGCCUUUUGCGUGACCCAAGGAGAUCUUAGUGAUAUGAUGAUAGCGACCCAAUUGGGACGUCACUAAGAAGUCAGCAGUGCCAUAGUAGUCUCGCCGCAAGCGGGAUGAAGGGCUAAACCUUAUGCUAUCAGCCGAUUACAUAGGGGCUCGCCGUAUGCGGGAAAUCCGCUCGUACGGUGGGGAUUCGGCAAACUAUCAAAGACCGAAAUCCGCCCGUCACGUCAAGGGAGCCGGUAAUACCCCAAGUUCUGCUUCGGUAGGAUCAAGGUAGGAUCGGUAACAGGGACGAAGUCGUAACAAGGCACCGGUAGCGGAAGCUGUCGGUGGAUCAUCUCCUUUCUAGGGAG